AUUGAACGCUGGCGGCAGGCCUAACACAUGCAAGUCGAGCGAGUGGCGGACGGGUGAGUAAUGCUUGGGAAUCUAGCUUAUGGAGGGGGAUAACUACGGGAAACUGUAGCUAAUACCGCGUACCAUAGGAUGAGCCCAAGUGGGAUUAGGUAGUUGGGUAGGUAAAGGCUAACCAAGCCGACGAUCUCUAGCUGGACUGAGAUGAUGACCAGCCCCAUUGGGAUUGAGCCACGGCCCAGACUCCGACGGGAGGCAGCAGUGGGGAAUAUUGCGCAAUGGGGGCAACCUGACGCAGCCAUGCCGCGUGAAUGAAGAAGGCCUUCGGGUUGUAAAGUUCUUUCGGUAGCGAGGCGUUAACUACAGAAGAAGCACCGGCUAACUCCGUGCCAGCAGCCGCGGUAAUAC
rnacentral:rRNA from 1 species